AGCGAACGCUGGCGGCAUGCUUAACACAUGCAAGUCGCACGAGGGGUUUCGGCCUCUAGUGGCGGACGGGUGAGUAACACGUAGGUAUCUAUCCACGGGUGGGGGAUAACGGCGGGAAACUGCUGCUAAUACCGCAUGACACCUGAGGGUCAAAGGCGCGAGUCGCCUGUGGAGGAGCCUUCGUCCGAUUAGCUAGUUGGUAGGGUAAUGGCCUACCAAGGCGACGAUCGGUAGCNGGUCUGAGAGGAUGAUCAGCCACAUUGGGACUGAGACACGGCCCAAACUCCUACGGGAGGCAGCAGUGGGGAAUAUUGGACAAUGGGCGCAAGCCUGAUCCAGCAAUGCCGCGUGGAUGAAGAAGGUCUUCGGAUUGUAAAGUCCUUUCGGCGGGGACGAUGAUGACGGUACCCGCAGAAGAA
rnacentral:rRNA from 1 species